AUUGAACGCUGGCGGCAGGCCUAACACAUGCAAGUCGAGCGGAUGAGUGGAGCUUGCUCCAUGAUUCAGCGGCGGACGGGUGAGUAAUGCCUAGGAAUCUGCCUGGUAGUGGGGGACAACGUUUCGAAAGGAACGCUAAUACCGCAUACGUCCUACGGGAGAAAGCAGGGGACCUUCGGGCCUUGCGCUAUCAGAUGAGCCUAGGUCGGAUUAGCUAGUAGGUGAGGUAAUGGCUCACCUAGGCGACGAUCCGUAACUGGUCUGAGAGGAUGAUCAGUCACACUGGAACUGAGACACGGUCCAGACUCCUACGGGAGGCAGCAGUGGGGAAUAUUGGGACAAUGGGCGAAAGCCUGAUCCAGCCAUGCCGCGUGUGUGAAGAAGGUCUUCGGAUUGUAAAGCACUUUAAGUUGGGAGGAAGGGUAGGUAACCUAAUACGUUGCUACUUUGACGUUACCGACAGAAUAAGCACCGGCUAACUU
rnacentral:rRNA from 1 species